UUAGCUUGCUAAGAGUGGAAAUGUUGAUGACUUAGUGGCGGACGGGUGAGUAACGCGUGGGUAACCUGCCAUAUACAGGGGGAUAACACUUAGAAAUAGGUGCUAAUACCGCAUAAGCGCACAGUACUGCAUGAGACAGUGUGAAAAACUACGGUGGUAUAUGAUGGACCCGCGUCUGAUUAGCUGGUUGGUGAGGUAACGGCCCACCAAGGCGACGAUCAGUAGCCGGCCUGAGAGGGUGGACGGCCACAUUGGGACUGAGACACGGCCCAAACUCCUACGGGAGGCAGCAGUGGGGAAUAUUGGACAAUGGGGGAAACCCUGAUCCAGCGACGCCGCGUGAGUGAAGAAGUAUUUCGGUAUGUAAAGCUCUAUCAGCAGGGAAGAAAAAAAUGACGGUACCUGACAAGAAGCCCCGGCUAACUACGUGCCAGCAGCCGCGGUAAUACGUAGGGGGCAAGCGUUAUCCGGAUUUACUGGGUGUAAAGGGAGCGUAGACGGCAGGGCAAGUCUGAUGUGAAAGGUCGGGGCCCAACCCCGGGACUGCAUUGGAAACUGUCCGGCUGGA
rnacentral:rRNA from 1 species